ensembl:lncRNA
AAUUCCGUCCCAGCUGAAGCAAAGACAGGUCACUGCUAGGGGGAAAAAAGAAUUCACCUUGCUUUCAAUCUGCGUUUGUUUAACUUCAGCUUUCAGACCACCUGAAGGGAGCAGCUCUAAAUGCUUCAGGGCGUGUGGUUGAAUAGACUCCUCAACUACCAAGAUGGAGAAGCUGAAGUGGAUCACACUGGUCAGCACUGACCAGAACCACCUCAAGCACCAGGGCAGCAGACACAAGCAGGAAAAUUGACUCUGAUCAUCCCUGGGGUCGUUUAACUAAAACACACAUUUCGGUCGAGCCAAGUGUUCACCAGCGCUUUUCAACUCCCCUGGUGUCAAAACAAUUAGCAGAUCACAGCAGCACCGACUCGCUGGUGCUCCAAUGGAAGCAUCUGGCCAGCACAUGGAGACGCAAUGCCAGCACAGACAAAUGUGACCAGAAGGAAUCUGACACAACCAACCCUUCCUUUGCAAUCAACGUGGGAUCCAAAACAAACCUUCGGCGCUCUCGGCAUCGCUGCCCAGGGAACCAGGCAUCCUGCAAAUAAACACUGAAUUGCAAAUCUGCGAGGGAGCUGAAUACAGCAUCACAGCCAUACUUCUUUCUGGUGGAUUGGCUCAGAAGAGAAGUUCUGUACAUGGGCUUUGGUAACAUCCAGCCAAGAGCUGAGUUUCGAGGGCCAGGAACUGCAGAUGGGCACACAGAUAGGUCAAACCUUGGUUUUUUUUUUCCCCCAGAAGGCACAUUUGGUGUCCAGUCUGCAAACACAGGUGACUUUAAGAGCAACUCCGGCCAUUAAUGCCCUUCUUGUUUUACCUUUUGUAAAAAGUUACAAGGAUUUUUAUCUAGGGUAAAACAUAUAGAUAGAUAGAUAGAUAGAUUUGCAGCUGGGAGCUGCUUUAUGCAGGCACAGCCUCUCUCUUGGCCACGGCCUUUUGGGCCAGGCAUGGUACAGUCUGUGGGUUGUAAACGUCAUUGAGCGAGUCAGCAGCUUUCCCCAUGAAACCAUCUCAAAGCCUUCCCCUGUUGCUGCACAUUUAAUUUCCCCAUUCAGGGGCCAGUGAGAGUAAAGGCAACCUGUGUAUGGAAACUUUUAAUUAAACUACAAAUAUAGAGUCGAGUCAUUUCUGGCGGAGGUGUAAAUAGUCUGUGGGAGAAGUGCUGAGUUGUGGGAGAGGAAGGCAGCAUUUGUAUCCAGCCCUGGAAUUUGUCCAUUCGUCACACUGUUGUCCCAGGAUCACAGAUCCAUUAAGGUUGGAAAAGACUUCCAAGAUCAUCCAGUUCAGUCGUCCACCUACCACCAAUAUUUCCCAGUGAUCCCAUGUUCCUUAGUACCACAUCUACACAUCUUGAACACAUCCAGAGACAGUGACUCCACCACCUCCCUGGGCAGCAGUGCCAGUGCCUGACCGCUCUUUCGAAGGCCAUCACCUCUUGUCCUGUCGCUGUUACUCAGGAGAAGAGGCUGACACCCACCUUGCCACAACCCCCUGUCAAGGAGUUGCAGAGGGCAAUAAGGUCUCCCCUGAGCCUCCUCCUCUCCACCCUCCACAGCUCCCAUCAGUCCUU